UACCUCAUGUGGCAUUCUGUUCCUGCUUUCAUUGCAGUAAACGAGAUUCCACAAGGCUCUCCACUCCUGGGCAGAGAUCGACUCUCUCUCUCUCUUGAUUCUCCCCUCCCUCCUCAGGAAAGAGAUCGACACCAUGAACCAUUUGUCCGAAUAGGCGACAUGUUUUCCCACCAGGUUUAAGUUUUUCGAAUUUCCGCUGUUUUUUUUUGUUUUAGUUUAUGGUUUGUGCGGUUUUUCCUUUUGAUUUUGUUCAGGAUUUUGUGGUAUUUGUUUUCCCUAGACCCUCAUUGUUGUGUGUGUUUGAAGCUACUCUAGCUGUGGUGUUUUGGUUGAUUAUUCUCUGUCUCUAGGGUUUUCCCCUUGUUUUCAACUCUAUUUUGAUGGUAUGUUCUUGGUGAGAACAACUACAGCAACAACAAAUCUAAAUGCUUCAAAAUAUGGAGAAUAGGGAGAAGGACGCUCGAAAGAUGGAUCUGCAUCUAGGCUUCCGAGAGUCCGAAGGAAUCAAAGUUGAGUCGGUGUACUUUCCUCUUAAAGGUGAGUCAGUGUAAUUUCUUACGGUGAAUCUGUCAACAUAAUGAUUGUGAUUUUGUGUUGUAUUUUGAUACCUAUGAAUGAGUUUGUAUAUUACAAUUUCCUGUGCAGCAUGGUAGUUUGCCAAUUGCCCUUGGGCAAAUAAAUCCAACAGGUAAUCUUUUUCCUCUCCCCCUGUCUCCACACUCAAAUUUGGUUCUUAAGGUGUAGGUCAGUGAUGAUGUUCAUCAUGGAAGGCUCAAUGUUAACAAGGUAGAUUGUAUUAGAGUUCAGCAGGAGUUGAACAGGACAGAAGGAAUAUUUUCUGUAAUAUGUGAAGAGCAACCAUUUUCGUACAUGGUAGUACCAAAUGUUUGAAACCAAUAAACGCAAAUGAAGAAACCGUGUUUG